AACGAACGCUGGCGGCGGGGUUUAGGCAUGCAAGUCGAGCGAGAAAGCGCAAGCUGAGUACAGCGGCGUAAGGGUGAGUAAUAGGUAGCCAACGUACCGGGCAGACGCGAAUAGUUUCCCGAAAGGGAUUGUAAUGCGCGAUGAGAUCACGGGCACCACGGUGCAUGGGAUCAAAGGUCGGGGAUCCUUCGGGACCUGGCGCUGUCUGAGCGGACUACCUCUGAUAGCUAGUUGGCGGGUAACGGCCCACCAAGGCGAUGAUCAGUAGCCGGCCUGAGAGGGUGUCCGGCCACACUGGGACUGAGACACUGCCCAGACUCCUACGGGAGCUGCAGUCGCGAAUCAUUCACAAUGGACNCAAGUCUGAUGAUGCCACGCCGCGUGC
rnacentral:rRNA from 1 species